UGGGGAAUAUUGGACAAUGGGCGAAAGCCUGAUCCAGCCAUGCCGCGUGUGUGAAGAAGGUCUUCGGAUUGUAAAGCACUUUAAGUUGGGAGGAAGGGCAGUAAGCGAAUACCUUGCUGUUUUGACGUUACCGACAGAAUAAGCACCGGCUAACUCUGUGCCAGCAGCCGCGGUAAUACAGAGGGUGCAAGCGUUAAUCGGAAUUACUGGGCGUAAAGCGCGCGUAGGUGGUUCGUUAAGUUGAAUGUGAAAGCCCCGGGCUCAACCUGGGUACUGCAUCCAAAAAUGGCGAGCUAGAGUAGGGCAGAGAGUGGUGGAAUCUCCUGUGUAGCGGUGAAAUGCGUAGAUAUAGGAAGGAACACCAGUCGCGAAGGCGACCACCUGGGCUCAUACUGACACUGAGGUGCGAAAGCGUGGGGAGCAAACAGG
rnacentral:rRNA from 1 species